GUUUUACUGUAAUUUGUAACAUUUAUACCCUGAUGGAUAUCCUAAAAAGAUAUAGUUUAGCUCUAGGCGUUACAAUUCGAUCCAUCUAGAUUAUGCAAAACAAGAGUUAAACUUGGAUGAAAAUGAUGCAUGUAAGAAGAACGGACUGUGAGAGCUAUCGAAGGAUUCAUCACUAGAGGAGAUAUUCACAGCUGAGUCACGAGCCGUGUAAGUAACACCAGAGCUUCUACGAUUAACAAUCGCAGCUCUAAGAUUGCCUUGAAUCAGAGAUUGAGCUUGCCUGGAUGCAAUUGGAGAAACAUAGUCGGGUGAAAAAGAUAAUUAAAAAGGCCUAACUAAACAAGAAGUCCAACAUAUGCUAAUUACUUGAUCAUUGAAGAAAUCAAACGAGGAAGAAGUAGUAGUCUUCACUUUUUUGUGACCUUUCACUAAUUUUUGUGUGUCUCUAGAUCAAGACCAUACUAUUUUUUGUAUAACAUGUUGGAACUUUAAAUUGUAUUUUGAAUACCCAUUUAGGAUGAAUGUCAUUUUGAUAUAAAGUAAUUUUGCAAAA